rnacentral:rRNA from 1 species
CGCGCAGGCGGCCUAAUAAGUUGGUGGUGAAAGUCCUGGGCUCAACUCAGGGAUGGCCAUCAAGACUGUUAGGCUGGAGUGUGGGAGAGGAGGGUGGAAUUCCUGGUGUAGCGGUGAAAUGCGUAGAGAUCAGGAGGAACACCGGUGGCGAAGGCGGCUCUCUGGACCACUACUGACGCUGAGGCGCGAAAGCUAGGGGAGCAAACAGGAUUAGAUACCCUGGUAGUCCUAGCCCUAAACGAUGGAUACUUGCUGUGGGGGGUAUUAAAUCCCCCUGUGGCGGAGCUAACGCGUUAAGUAUCCCGCCUGGGGAGUACGGUCGCAAGUCUGAA